rnacentral:rRNA from 1 species
UGGGGGCAACCCUGAUCCAGCAAUGCUGCGUGUGUGAAGAAGGCCUUCGGGUUGUAAAGCACUUUCAGCGGGGAAGAAAGGCCAAAGGUUAAUAACCUUUGGAGUUGACGUUACCCGCAGAAGAAGCACUGGCUAACUCUGUGCCAGCAGCCGCGGUAAUACAGAGAGUGCAAGCGUUAAUCGGAAUUACUGGGCGUAAAGCGCGCGUAGGUGGAUACUUAAGUCGGAUGUGAAAGCCCUGGGCUUAACCUAGGAAUUGCACCCGAUACUGGGUAUCUAGAGUAUGGUAGAGGGUAGUGGAAUUUCCGGUGUAGCGGUGAAAUGCGUAGAUAUCGGAAAGAACAUCAGUGGCGAAGGCGGCUACCUGGACCAAUACUGACACUGAGGUGCGAAAGCGUGGGGAGCAAACAGGAUUAGAGACCCUGGUAGUCCACGCCGUCAACGAUGAGAACUGGCUGUUGGGAGGGACUUCCUCUUAGUAGCGAAGCUAACGCGUUAAGUUCUCCGCCUGGGGAGUACGGCCGCAAGGUUAAAACUCAAAGGAAUUGACGGGG